rnacentral:ncRNA from 1 species
AUAUGGUCCUUAAACAGGAUAAAUGGGAAAAGAGUGCAAAUCUCUUACGGUCACGCCGCUGUAAAGGAGGAGCGUUCCCCACAAUCCACUGGUUCGCCGGGAAGGAGGGGAAAUCGCAGAGAUUCCUAAGUCAGAAUACCGCCAU